rnacentral:rRNA from 1 species
UACGUAGGGUGCAAGCGUUGUCCGGAAUUAUUGGGCGUAAAGAGCUCGUAGGCGGUUUGUCGCGUCUGCUGUGAAAACCCGAGGCUCAACCUCGGGCCUGCAGUGGGUACGGGCAGACUAGAGUGCGGUAGGGGAGAUUGGAAUCCUGGUGUAGCGGUGAAAUGCGCAGAUAUCAGGAAGAACACCGUGGCGAAGGCGGCUCUCUGGGACGGUACUGACGCUGAGACGCGAAAGCGUGGGGGAGCGAACAGG